ACUUUAUCGAUACAUUGCGCGUGCAAGCAAUGUUUCUUAGCUCUAAUGUUUAAACGGUGUAAAUAUUUUUAAAUAAUCAUUUGCUUGAUACCGGUGCUGCGCUGUGGGCGAACACGACAUGGGACAACUUCCAGCCGCCAAUUUGCCGUGGUCCCAGUGGCUCGUGGCUACAAAUGACUUCAAAACGUUGUGGGAAGCGCAGCCUACGUACAUCAUCUCGCAGACGGUUUACAUAUUUGCCGGAUUGGUCACUCUUGCGCAUGCCUUCAACAAGGGCGGCAGAUGGCCAUACUUUUGGCUCGUGACUGUACUCCAUGGAAUUUACGCGGAUAACUUCUGGCAUUUUGCCCUGCCAGAGUACGAUAACUUCUGGCACUCACAAACACCUAUUAUAUUCUUGGGAGGUCGGCUGCCGCUGCAUAUAAUCCUUUUAUAUCCGGCAUUUAUAUACCACGCAGCUUAUGCCGUCUCAAAGUUGAACCUGCCCAGAUACGCGGAGCCUUUUGCCGUGGGAUUGCUGACGGUGCUCAUAGACAUUCCCUACGACAUAGUGGCCGUGAAGUUCGUCCACUGGACGUGGCACGACACGGACCCCAACAUCUUCGAUCGCCAUUACUGGGUCCCCUGGAACUCGUACUAUUUCCACGCGACUUUCGCUUCAAGUUUAUAUUUCUUUUCAUCGUUAGCAGACGUUGGUUUGCUCCCAAAGUAGCACAAUGGGAUGCCGCGAGUAAAAAAGUUGAAUGGCAAUCUGUUAUUAUAGCCACUCUCCUUGGAAUGCCUGGAGGCGUGCUCAUGUUCGUUCCGAUAUACCACCCGUUACACGACAUUCUCAAGAUCCACUCCGAAGUCACCUUCUUUAUGCUAUUCGCUAUUUUCGGAAUGUUCAUUAUAAGUGGAUUACUGAGCGAGAGGGAGAAGUCUAAAGAGCCGCUCACAGGCAUCGACUACCUCAUGAUCCUGCAGUUGGUGAUCCACUACAUGACGUACUGGAUGUUUGUGAUGUUCUUCGACCCUGAGCGCGAAGUGUCUGUGGGACUGCACGAGCCUGUCGGACCUUGCAAUGAAGUCGCCAGUCUCGUGACCCCUUUUGGCCAGACGCUGUACAAGCGCAAAUACUUCUGCCCUGAAAAAUACGACGAGGGCUACUUCGACUUCCACUGCGUUGGGAACAAGAAGCCUCCGAACGGCGCCGAGUGGUACACUAUAUGCGGCACGCCAUUUGAGAACCGCGCUGAGUAUGUCGUAGUGCUGACCUCGAUUUUAAUCCUGGCCUCGGGCGUAUUUUACAACAUUUACUUCAAAUCUAGCGCAUCCAAGACGUCCCAGGCAGCACCAGCCAAGAAAUUAAAAAAGAAAUAAUUUAUAAAGUAAUAAUUAAUUGCAUUAUUUAAAAACAUUAAAAAAAUAUGUAAAAUA